rnacentral:tRNA from 1 species
ACCCACUUAACUCAGUGGUUAGAGUAUCGCUUUCAUACG